CCUACGGGAGGCAGCAGUGGGGGAUAUUGCACAAUGGGGGGAACCCUGAUGCAGCGACGCCGCGUGGGUGAAGAAGCGCCUCGGCGCGUAAAGCCCUGUCAGCAGGGAAGAAAAUGACGGUACCUGAAGAAGACGCCCCGGCUAACUACGUGCCAGCAGCCGCGGUAAUACGUAGGGGGCAAGCGUUAUCCGGAUUUACUGGGUGGAAAGGGGGCGCAGACGGCGAUGCAAGCCAGGAGUGAAAGCCCGGGGCCCAACCCCGGGACUGCUCUUGGAACUGCGGGGCUGGAGUGCAGGAGGGGCAGGCGGAAUUCCUGGUGUAGCGGUGAAAUGCGUAGAUAUCAGGAGGAACACCGGUGGCGAAGGCGGCCUGCUGGACUGCAACUGACGUUGAGGCCCGAAAGCGUGGGGAGCAAACAGGAUUAGAUACCCUAGUAGUC
rnacentral:rRNA from 1 species